CGAACGGUAACAGGAAGCAGCUUGCUGCUUCGCUGACGAGUGGCGGACGGGUGAGUAAUGUCUGGGAAACUGCCUGAUGGAGGGGGAUAACUACUGGAAACGGUAGCUAAUACCGCAUAACGUCGCAAGACCAAAGAGGGGGACCUUCGGGCCUCUUGCCAUCGGAUGUGCCCAGAUGGGAUUAGCUAGUAGGUGGGGUAACGGCUCACCUAGGCGACGAUCCCUAGCUGGUCUGAGAGGAUGACCAGCCACACUGGAACUGAGACACGGUCCAGACUCCUACGGGAGGCAGCAGUGGGGAAUAUUGCACAAUGGGCGCAAGCCUGAUGCAGCCAUGCCGCGUGUAUGAAGAAGGCCUUCGGGUUGUAAAGUACUUUCAGCGGGGAGGAAGGCGAUAAGGUUAAUAACCUUGUCGAUUGACGUUACCCGCAGAAGAAGCACCGGCUAACUCCGUGCCAGCAGCCGCGGUAAUACGGAGGGUGCAAGCGUUAAUCGGAAUUACUGGGCGUAAAGCGCACGCAGGCGGUCUGUCAAGUCGGAUGUGAAAUCCCCGGGCUCAACCUGGGAACUGCAUUCGAAACUGGCAGGCUAGAGUCUUGUAGAGGGGGGUAGAAUUCCAGGUGUAGCGGUGAAAUGCGUAGAGAUCUGGAGGAAUACCGGUGGCGAAGGCGGCCCCCUGGACAAAGACUGACGCUCAGGUGCGAAAGCGUGGGGAGCAAACGAUACCCUGGUAGUCCACGCCGUAAACGAUGUCGACUUGGAGGUUGUGCCCUUGAGGCGUGGCUUCCGGAGCUAACGCGUUAAGUCGACCGCCUGGGGAGUACGGCCGCAAGGUUAAAACUCAAAUGAAUUGACGGGGGCCCGCACAAGCGGUGGAGCAUGUGGUUUAAUUCGAUGCAACGCGAAGAACCUUACCUACUCUUGACAUCCAGAGAACUUAGCAGAGAUGCUUUGGUGCCUUCGGGAACUCUGAGACAGGUGCUGCAUGGCUGUCGUCAGCUCGUGUUGUGAAAUGUUGGGUUAAGUCCCGCAACGAGCGCAACCCUUAUCCUUUGUUGCCAGCGGUCCGGCCGGGAACUCAAAGGAGACUGCCAGUGAUAAACUGGAGGAAGGUGGGGAUGACGUCAAGUCAUCAUGGCCCUUACGAGUAGGGCUACACACGUGCUACAAUGGCGCAUACAAAGAGAAGCGACCUCGCGAGAGCAAGCGGACCUCAUAAAGUGCGUCGUAGUCCGGAUUGGAGUCUGCAACUCGACUCCAUGAAGUCGGAAUCGCUAGUAAUCGUGGAUCAGAAUGCCACGGUGAAUACGUUCCCGGGCCUUGUACACACCGCCCGUCACACCAUGGGAGUGGGUUGCAAAAGAAGUAGGUAGCUUAACCUUCGGGAG
rnacentral:rRNA from 1 species